UACGGGGGGGGCAAGCGUUGUCCGGAAUUAUUGGGCGUAAAGAGCUCGUAGGCGGCUUGUCGCGUCGGUUGUGAAAGCCCGGGGCUUAACCCCGGGUCUGCAGUCGAUACGGGCAGGCUAGAGUUCGGUAGGGGAGAUCGGAAUUCCUGGUGUAGCGGUGAAAUGCGCAGAUAUCAGGAGGAACACCGGUGGCGAAGGCGGGUCUCUGGGCCGAAAUUGACGCUGAGGAGCGAAAGCGUGGGGAGCAAACAGG
rnacentral:rRNA from 1 species